rnacentral:lncRNA from 1 species
UAGAUCGAGUGGCAUUCGAUAAAGUUAAAGUGAAAUGACACUAGAGAUAGUGUGAGGUAAAGAAUGAUGAAAAUGACAAUGUUUAAAGUUAAAGUAAUGUGGGGAGUAAAGAACAUGAAAUGCUAGAGGUAGCCAAAAGUAAAGAAUGUAAAGAAUAUAAUUGCUAGAGUUAGCAAGAGUAAUGAAUGGUAAAGAACAAUGAUUGCUAGAGUUAGCAACAUAAAGUGAUGUAAAGAACACUAGAGUUAGUGUA